CACACAAAUUAUUUCGUGAUUAAGAUGUCAAAUUACAGUUAAUUAUUUUUAGUGUUUGAAUGAUAACUGUGACUAAUUUGUGACUUCUCAGAGAAGCCCAGUCUGUCAUGGGUGUGUGUUCUGGUUGUUGUUUUCCCCCUGUCUCGUACACACCUGCUCCUGACAGCAUUUUCCCCACCUGUGCCUUGUUUACCCUAAUUACCCCAUGUAUUUAACCUCCUGUCUCAUUCUUUCUGGUCGCCAGUUCGUUGUACCUUGUUGUCGCAUUCCAGCAUUUCUUGUUUCCACGUCACAGUCUCACAGUAAGACUAGACCCUGUUCUGAUUAUCAACCUUGCCUUUUUGUCUCACGUUUUUGGAUACUGUUGCCUUUUUUGGAUUGCCUGCCUCUGCCCGUAUAUUAAACCUCUCUUUUUGAAACUGUCCAUUUGUUUUGGAGUUGUGCAUUUUUGGGUCCUCUCCUCUGUUCCGUUCAUGACACAGUCAGUCACCUCAAAUGUGCAAAUAUGGGUAUGAAAAGAUGAAGUCAGUUUGAAAUUCCUCAUUCCUCUUAAAAAUUAUAAAUCUUUGAGGGCUCACUGAAGUCCUUAUUUAAAAAAAACACUUCAUGAUUUUUGGUUUCCAAGACAAAUAGGUGAUGUGGUGUAAUAAACUUGUUAAGCACUGUACAUAUUAGUCCAUAAUAUCCCAUCUAAUCAACCAACAAUCCAUCUAUCAUGUGUUUUAUCCAUUUGGGUUAAACCAUAUCCAAAUUUCUCUGACUGCCAUUCACCAGUAAUCAAUUACAGGGUUCAUUUAAGCUGCAUUUGGUGUCAUAAAUGUGUCCACCAAUUAGCUUAAUGGAGUCAAAACAACAUGCAGUCCUAGUUAUUAGUACAUUAUACUCAUGAGCCUUCCAAUCUUUCGCCCCUGAGACCACAGACCAACAGUGUGAAAUGUCAAGUAUGCUCCUGGGUAAACAAAGUCAAAUUAGAUGGACAGGAAAUCAAUGUGCCUCUUUGUCCUCAAUUUAUGAUGUCAAAAAGGCAUACAAAAACGGUUCAUACAUAAGAACCAAUGCAACUACAGUGACACAAAAUGUCACAUUAAAAUCUUAUGCAAUGCAGUCAGGUAACCGUGAAGUGUGAAGCAAAAUAUAAAAUAUUCACUAUUAUUUAACACCGACUGCUCACAGGCUUGCUUUUGUGAGCUCUUAUAAAGAGGAACUGGAGGUUUUGGCAGCAUACUUGCUGGCAGGCUGUCGUGAACAUCUGGCCAUCAGCAGAUUGUGUUAAUCUACGGGCCGCACAAAAACAAAAGUGUGAGCGCGUCCGAGGAUGAACUUGACCAAGAUUGUUUUUAGCCAUGGCAAAAUGAAAAAGCAUGAAUAUACUUAAUGAUUCUAUAUCUAUAUGGUACUAUUCUCUAAUCCUAUUAUAAUUUGACCUAACUACUGAGGUCACAAUAUAAAUUUUUAGAUUCUCCGAUGUUAACAUAUAGUAUAUGUCAGGAUGACAGGAAGGGGUCACAAUCUUUCAAAAUACAGCUCACAACAAACGUUAUACAUAGGCCUGUCAUGAUAAUUACUAUAUAUCGACUUAUUGUUCGAUGAAUAAAAAUGGACAUGAUAGUUUUUCCGGACUCGAUAAAUGGUAAUUGUUGUGGUGAGCCAACAGAGUUGGAUGGCUGUCUCUUUAGCCGCUAGUGGGCUCAUGGAACUCUGGCGGACCGAUACACUCUUGCCGGUGUUGGCUCCGUCAAAUACUCCACAGCCUCACUCCAUGUGCAGCAUGAAGAUUCCCACAACAGAGACACUUAAGGGAAAGUUAACUGUUUGUCGUGCUCCCUAGCCCGGUCGCGAGCUAAGGACCUAGAGAGUUAAGGAACUAAACAGUUGGUCCACCGAGGCGAAGUCGUAACGGCAGUGCCUCUCUGAGUUGUUCUGUGUGUUAGUCCCCAAUUAACACAAACACGGGAACGUUAACUGUUUAACCUCAGUGGCACACAUUAUUCACUCAGUAGUUGACGACAGCAUGACUUAAGAGUACGUUAUGCCAGAAAUCCGGCAUAUAAUUUUUUAUUUUUUUUUACAAGACUCUCCCUAUGCAUGUGCGUGUCACGUGACAUCGCGAGCAAUCACGGCAGAUAGUGGUGUACAUACACUGUAAAAACGUUUACCAUACGGUUUGUAAUUGUAUUGUAAUCUUAUAUUUCCCUCUCACUGCAACUGAGGGGGAGUUAGUUCACUUGGGUUUUUCUUCCGAGGGGGGAAGACGACGCCACUCGGUGCGGACUGCGCGAACAGUCUCACCGGCUUUCACAUGUGGGGAGCGUAGCAGCCCCGAGCCUCACAAUCCAUUGGUAAAGAGAAGCCUGGGCAGCCCAUUAGCCAGCCAGGUCGCCGCUCUGCACCAAAAUGAAGCAUACAACCGCAAGGAACCUUUGAAGUAUAGUGCAGCUAGCAGGCUAGUGAGCUAGCUAUCUACCGUCUUAAUCAAAGCACAAGCAAGUGAUCCACCACGCUGUUACAGUUAGGUUAUGCGGGCUGGCCGUCGCUGGCUAAGCACAGUGGCGUGGUCCAAGGCAAACCCAGUCGAACCGGGCCUUUCAUAUCCACAUGAACUUAAGUAUUGUGCUUCAGCUCAGUUUUGACAAAGGGUGAGUACCGUAUUUUCCCGACCAUAAGGCGCACCGUAUUAAAAGCCGCAGUCUCAGUUACUGGGUCUAUUUCUGUAUUUAACACAUACAUAAUGCGCAUCGUAUUAUUGGGCGCAGGCAUGGUAAAACAUACGCUAGCUUAAAACAUACGGUAGCAUGCAUCCACACUACAACAAUGUUUUUAAAAAGGCAGCGGGAGCAAAACUGAGUUCGGUUGUACUUUAUUGAAGUAUUUAACAAUGUACUCACGUUAUUUUUUUGAUCAAUCCUCAUCCACAAAUCCAUCAAACUCCUCAUCUUCUGUAUUCGAAAUGAACAGCUGGGCAAGUUCUCCAUCAAACACGCCAGGUUCCCUCUCGUCAUUGUCGGACUCAGUCUUGUUACCAUGCGGCUCCUCAGAAAUGAUGCCGGCUUUUACGAAAGCUCGAACAACAGUGCAAGCAGACACGUUAGCCCAAGCCUCCACAAUCCAUUCACAAAUUGUGGCAUAACUUGCCCGGCGCUGCCUCUUAGUCUUAGUAAAGCUGUGUUCGCCAUCUGUCAUUCAUCACUUCCACGCCACUCGCAACUUCACUUUGAACGCCCUGUUUACACCGAUGUCCAGCGGUUGGAGUUCCUUCGUCAAGCCUGCCGGAUUGAGGGCAAGUUAUUGCACUCAGUCGAAUGGUGUAUGUAGAGACGCUUCUCCCGGCUGUUCUUUGCUCAUUAAUCCAUUGCUCGAGUUGGUCUUCCAACUCGGGCCACCUCACCUUGUUUCCGCGGAAACUCAGCUUCGUAUUCUUGACUGCUUCCUCCACUUGCGAACCAUGGAUUCGUUGAUCUUGAAUUCUCUCGCAGCUGCUCGAUUCCCAUGUUCCUCCGCGUAACUGAUAGCUUGGUAGCGUAGGUGCCAUUUCCGGGGGUCCUUAGACAAACCGAUGUUGUUUUGCACAAUGCACACACCUACUGGGGGCGUGCCUUUCGCGUCCUCCUUCACGCGCACCCUUCCCCUUUUACGUUCGCAUGCUGUCCUCAGUCACGUCCGCCUUUCCUCUAUAUAAGCAGCCUGUCGGCAGGAAAUGCUCCCAGUCAGUCAAGCGGAGCACUCAUCGAAGUCAUACAACAACAUUUACAGAUUUUGGAACUCGGUGCACACAUAAGACGCCCCGUCCAUUUUGGAGAGAAUUUAAGACUUUUAAGUGCACCUUAUGGUCGUGAAAAUAUGGUACUGCGUGUCAUUUAGGCCAAAUUGUUCCUGCUUUUAAAAUCUGUCACUAUUAUCUGACAGCUUAAGUUUCUGUACAUAACCGUUUUUGCAAUAUAUUCUCCCCCUGUCCAGUAAAUCACCUUUACCACCCAAAAUUUUCAAUAUUAAUGUUGAUUAUCAAUUAAAAAGUAUGAAUUUGAGUAUGAGUAUGAGUAUAAUUAAUCAAGUAAUUUUUUUCAUAUGCUGGUUAUAAAGUAGUUAUUUAUAUGAUAAUAAACUGGUUAUUCAUUCAUUAACGGAUUAUCUGUAUGCAGUUUCCCCCUCUCCAUUGGGGGUUGGGGGUUAAAUUCCAAACCAUUUUCUGCAAUAAGUGAAAUUUAUGAAAUGGAAAUAUCCAUCCAUCCAUCCAUCCAUCAAUUUUCUGAGCCGCUUCUCCUCACUCGCGUGCUGGAGCCUAUUCCAGCUGUCAUCGGGCAGGAGGCGGGGUACACCCUGAACUGGUUGCCAGCCAAUCGCAGGGCACAUACAAACAAACAACCAUCCGCACUCACAUUCACACCUACGGGCAAUUUAGAGUCGAAAUAGAAAUACCCUAUUUAAAAACACUCCAGGCAUGUUUUGUCGCAUUUACGGCACUUAACAUUUUUGUUAAAAGAGAUCUUUAUCAUUCCAGAGAGGCUUGCGGUCGGCCACCGACUCUCAGGUACACUUUACCCCCUUUGGGAUUAAGCGGGGACGUGCGGUCAGGAGAAGCAGGGGAGGCAGAGCCUCACCUGCAUGUGAAGAGUUAAAAAAAAAAAAAUCAACCAAUUGAUUACAUAAAAUUGUUUUACCUUUCAGUUCUCUGAUCUGUUCUUUAUAAUAAUUUUCAUUUUGGAUCCAAUAUUGUCUAUGAGUUUAUCAUUAAAUUUGUUGAAUUUGUGUAUUUCCUGUUUAAAUGUAUAGGUGAGAGGGGAAAGGCCGAAUGCGAGUAUGGUAUCUGUGGAAUGAUCUAGAUUCUCCCAUUGAAAAGACUCAAAACAUUUAUUCGGAAUAAGACUCAUCAAGAAAGACCUUCUUUGCUGGGAAUACUGUAAUUUUUUUUUAGAUUGAGAGACAUUUGAGGCUCAAUGUAGAAAAUUAGGACUCUUGCAGGAAAGUAACAGAGUUAAGGGUAAAAGAACUAAGCAUUUUUACUUUUACCAAAAAUGAGCUCAGGCUAUACAGCAAAUAACCCAAAAUUAAAAUUAAAGCUAGACUUUGAACUUAAAUUUUUUUUUGUUAUUCUUUUGUUGUACAGUUUGUAGUGGAUAAUAACCUCUUGCUAAACCUUUUGAAAUAAUUGAUAGAUUCUUUACUCAACAUAUAAACACAUUAGUAACAAAAGUAAAUUUAAAAGAAAGAAAAAUAACAUCAGUAGAUGUCUUCGUACAGCACAGUUUACAUUUUGAAAGGGAGUAGGAAGAAGUAAACUUUUGUCAUGUACUGCCCUUGAGUACCGUUUUGGAGCCUGGAUGGCGCGCUCUCUUUCUCUCUCUCUCCCCUCCCCUCUCUGUUUCAGCUUCUCUUCUAGCCACGCACCUGUCUCCAACUAACCCUCAUCACCACCUACAUUUAAGCCUGCCUGUUCCCAGAAAUCCUCGCCAAAGUAUUGUAGCCUCUCCUAGCGGUACCACGGCCCACUGUACUCAUGUAAGCUACUCAACUCCUCGUUCCCUUGUGUCUCCUCGUUCCCAGUGUUCCUGACCCACCUCAUUCCUGUCAGCCGCCUGUUCUGUCCACUGCGUGCCACCUGUCCACGCCGCCGCCUGCCAACACAUACAGGACCACCUCCAUAAUCUUUGCUCAAUAAACUGUUCAUCAUUUUACAUCAGCCUCCGCCUGCUCUUGGGUCCAGCUACUUCCCACACGUGACAGAAUACUUUGGCCACUAUGGACCCAGCAACUACGGAGGCACUGAAGAACGCACUCACCCUCCAAAGCGCCCACAUUGGACUACAGGACAAAAUACUGCAAGAAAUCACCGAACCGCUCCACUCCCUUUCGCAACAGGUCUCCCUCCUUGCAAUCCAUUCAACCCCCGUGUAAGAACUCCUCCCAAGCCCGCAGCCUCCGAGCCACCCCGCUUCCCGUUCAAAGAACCUCAUGUCCCUCCGCCCGACCCCUACUCCGGGAACCUAGGUGCAUGUAGCCAGUUUAUUCUUAAUUGCUCACUCCUAUUAAAUCUCCAACCAUACAGUUAUCCCACCGAAUGUUCCAAAGUAGCAUAUGUCACUAACCUCCUCUGCGCCAAAGCAGAAAAAUGGUCCACUUCAUUAUGGCACAACUCCUCCCCGGUCCUCCUUUCAUUCGAUUCCUUUUCCGCUGAACUCCGUAAGGUUUUCAAUCACCCCAUUCAGGGCAAAGAAGCCACUCGUCAUCUCCUCACACUCACUCAGGGCGCUAAAUCCGUCGUGGAAUAUUCCAUCGACUUCCGUAUCCUUGCUGGUGAAUGCAGGUGGGAUGACGUAGCCCUUAGGGGAAUCUUUUUAAACGGUCUCUCCGAACAAAUCAAAGACGAGCUUGCAGUCCGGGACGAGCCUUCCUCUCUCUAAUCGCCCUCUCCAUCCGUCUGGAUAACAGACUGCGAGAGAGACCCCGUGAGAAAGGGCUAUGCUCGUGUAAACACUCUCCCACUCUGAGCACCACACAGUCGUCUUCAGCACUUUCGUCACUCCCCGUUGCAUCCGAUAAAUUCAUUCAAAUUGGUCAAACACGUUUAGAUCCACGAGAACGUCAGCGUCGUGUCAUCCAGCGGCUGUGCAUCCACUGCGGUCAAUCCGGUCACUUUAUUUCCUCGUGCCCCAUCCGACCAGAAAGACCAGGGUCACCGCGUCCCGAGAGCGUCGCGGUGAGCCAAACCUCCGUUCCCCCAAGCUCUCUCUCCCGCAUGACCGUUCCCGCUUGCAUUAUCAUUUCUGCUCAUAACACCCCCAUCCAACCACUUCCAUCCUCGAAAGAAGUCACAGCCCUGGAUGGCCGAGUAAUUUCCCUGGUCACUCAUCAAACAGUGCCCAUCACACUCCUUAUUUCAGGCAUUCACCGCGAAAACAUUUCCAUUUUUGUCAUUCCUUCCACUAAGACCCCCUUAGUUCUUGCUAUUCCCUGGCUCAAACUCCACAACCCCGCCACCGGAUGGAGACCUCAUUGCCAUUCCCACUGUCUGCUUUCUGCCGUUCCACCCUCAGAAGACCCACCACCCUUUGCCGCCCCAGUAGACCUCUCCCAAAUUCCAGAAGAAUAUCAAGACCUCUCCCCAGUAUUCAGCAAGGACUUGCCCAUCUCUCUACCCCCCAUUGCCCAUAUGAUUGCACCAUAGACCUCUUGCCAGGAGAUCCACUUCCCACCAGCCGACUCUACAAUCUCUCCCGUCCCGAAAAAAAGGCUAUGGAGGAUUACAUCCGCGACUCCUUGGCUGAUGGCCUUAUGCGCCCCUCCUCGUCGCCGGUCGGGGCUGGAUUUUUUUUCGUUGAGAAAAAAGACACCACUCUCCGCCCAUGCAUCGACUACUGAGGACUCAAUGACAUUACAAUUAAAAAUAAGUCACCGCUACCCCUGAUUGACCCGUCAUUUGAACCCCUCUGCGAAGCCCAAAUCUUUACCAAAUUGGACCUCCGUAACGCCUACCACCGCAUCUGUAUCCGAGAGGGGGACGAGUGGAAGACCGCCUUCAAUACCCCUCUUGGACACUUCGAGUAUCUGGUCAUGCCAUUCGGUUUAACCAACGCCCCUGCAGUUUUCCAAACAUUAAUUACUGACGUCCACCGUGACAUGCUCAACCGGUUUGUGUUUGUGUACCCCGAAGAACACGGCAUCCAGGUACGCCAAGUCCUCCAGCACCUCCUCGAGAACCGUCUAUACGUCAAACCGGAAAAAUUUGAAUUCCACCAAUCCUCAGUACAUUUCCUCGGCGCCAUCAUUGCAAAAGGGCAACUACAACCGGACCCCACCAAGAUCCAAGCCAUCAUGGAUGGGCCAGUCCCAUCCCCGCGACCCGCAAAGAACUGCAACGUUUCCUUGGAUUCUCCAAUUUCUACUGCAUUUUCAUCCGUAAUUACAGCAAGGUCGCUAUUCCCCUCAGCAGUCUCACACCACCAGCUCCCCCUUUCAGUGGACCCCAACAACCUCACAGGCAUUCAAUAAACUCAAAUCCCUGUUCACCAUUGCUCCCAUUCUGCGCCACCCUGACCCUUCCCUCCAGUUCAUGGUGGAGUUUGACGCCUCGGAUGCCGGAGCUGGAGCAGUCCUCUUGAAGCAAGAUCCCACGACCCAUAAACAUCACCCCUGUGCUUUUUUUCCCCGUCGCCUAUCUUCAGUAGAAAGAAAUUAUGACGUCGGAAACCGCAAGCUGCUGGCCAUUAUAAUGGCCCUGGAAGAAUGGAGGCACUGGCUGGAGGGAUCUAAACAACCAUUUCUCAUUUUGACUGACCACAAAAACCUCGCUUACCUCCGUACCGCUAAACAUCUCAUGCUGGGCACUAUUCCUCAGCAGAUUCAAUUUCAGUCUCUCUUUCCGUCCCGGUUCCCGUAACACCAAGGCAGAUGCCCGCUCUUGUAUUCACUCACCUCCUUCGAGCACAGCAGAACCCAAAUCCAUCCUUCCGGCCUCCUGUUUCGUUGGAGCGGCCACGUGGGAGAUCGAGCAGGUGGUCAAGGAGGCCCAAAAGACCCAACCUGAUCCCAAGACCGGGCCUGCUGACCACCUGUUCGUCCCAGAUUCAGGAAGUCUUGUAGUGGGCCCAAAACUCUAACUUAACUUGUCACCCUGGCAUCACCCGUACUGCCCAGUUCAUUCAACAGCACUUCUGGUGGCCCGGCCUCAUCAAAGACACCCGAGAGUUCGUUCAAGCCUGCUCCAUCUGCGCCCGAGGGAAGUCUUCUCACCGACCUCCAGCUGGCUUCCUGUGCCCCUUGCCAAUUCCCAGCCACCCUUGGUCUCACAUCGCUGUGGACUUCGUUACCGGCCUGCCCCCCUCUGAAGUCUCCGAUCGAGAUCCCGUUUUCCUCUCGGGUCUGGAAGGAAUUCUGCAAGGCGGUGGGCGCAGCAUCCAGCUUAUCCUCGGGGUAUCACCCGCAGACCAACGGCCAGACAGAGAGCAGGCGGUGGCAGU